GACGAACGCUGGCGGCGUGCUUAACACAUGCAAGUCGAACGAAAAGAGGGAAAGAGCCUGCUCUUUCCGGAAUUGAGUGGCAAACGGGUGAGUAACACGUAAACAACCUGCCUUCAGGAUGGGGACAACAGACGGAAACGACUGCUAAUACCGAAUAAGUUCCAAGAGCCGCAUGGCCCAUGGAAGAAAAGGUGGCCUCUACCUGUAAGCUAUCGCCUGAAGAGGGGUUUGCGUCUGAUUAGCUGGUUGGAGGGGUAACGGCCCACCAAGGCGACGAUCAGUAGCAGGUCUGAGAGGAUGAGCGGCCACACUGGAAGUGAGACACGGACCAGACUCCUACGGGAGGCAGCAGUGGGGAAUCUGCCGCAAUGGGCGAAAGCCUGACGGAGCAACGCCGCGUGAGUGAUGACGGACUUCGGGUUGUAAAACUCUGUGAUCCGGGACGAAAAGGCAGAGUGCGAAGAACAAACGGCAUUGACGGUACCGGAAAGGCAAGCCACGGCUAACUACGU
rnacentral:rRNA from 1 species